rnacentral:rRNA from 1 species
CCCUUAGAUGUUCUGGGCCGCACGCGCGCUACACUGAUGCGUUCAACAAGUUUCCUUGGCCGAGAGGCCUGGGCAAUCUUCUUAAUAUGUAUCGUGAUAGGGAUAGAUUAUUGCAAUUAUUAAUCUUGAACGAGGAAUUCCUAGUAAACGCAGAUCAUCAAUCUGCAUUGAUUACGUCCCUGCCCUUUGUACACACCACCCGUCGCACCUACCGAUUGGAUGUUCCGGUGAAGCCUCGGGAUGAGGACUGGUGCCUUUAUUGGCAUGAGUUGUUCAGAACUUGUCUAAACCUUAUCAUCUAGAGGAAGGUGAAGUCGUAACA